rnacentral:rRNA from 1 species
AGAAUCAACGCUGGCGGCGUGCCUAACACAUGCAAGUCGAACGAGAAAGGGUAGCAAUACCUGAGUAAAGUGGCGCACGGGUGAGUAACACGUGACUAACCUACCCUGGAGUGGGGGGAUAACUGAGGGAAACCUUAGCUAAUACCGCAUAACACCUACGGGUCAAAGGAGCAAUUCGCUUCAGGAGGGGGUCGCGGCCGAUUAGUUAGUUGGCGGGGUAAUGGCCCACCAAGACAGUGAUCGGUAUCCGGCCUGAGAGGGCGCACGGACACACUGGAACUGAAACACGGUCCAGACUCCUACGGGAGGCAGCAGUGGGGAAUUUUGCGCAAUGGGGGAAACCCUGACGCAGCAACGCCGCGUGGAGGAUGAAGUCCUUCGGGACGUAAACUCCUUUCGAUCGGGACGAUAAUGACGGUACCGGAAGAAGAAGCCCCGGCUAACUUCGCGCCAGCAGCCGC